CCUACGGGCGGCAGCAGUGGGGAAUAUUGCACAAUGGGCGCAAGCCUGAUGCAGCCAUGCCGCGUGUGUGAAGAAGGCCUUCGGGUUGUAAAGCACUUUCAGCGGGGAGGAAGGCGGUGAGGUUAAUAACCUCAUCGAUUGACGUUACCCGCAGAAGAAGCACCGGCUAACUCCGUGCCAGCAGCCGCGGUAAUACGGAGGGUGCAAGCGUUAAUCGGAAUUACUGGGCGUAAAGCGCACGCAGGCGGUCUGUCAAGUCGGAUGUGAAAUCCCCGGGCUCAACCUGGGAACUGCAUUCGAAACUGGCAGGCUAGAGUCUUGUAGAGGGGGGUAGAAUUCCAGGUGUAGCGGUGAAAUGCGUGGAGAUCUGGAGGAAUACCGGUGGCGAAGGCGGCCCCCUGGACAAAGACUGACGCUCAGGUGCGAAAGCGUGGGGAGCAAGCAGGAUUAGAUACCCCGGUAGUC
rnacentral:rRNA from 1 species